CCUGGGUUCCCCACAUAGCUCAUUAUGAGUCAUAACCAGGGCAACUGCUUAGGGAAGCUGCAUAGAGUAUUCAAACUCCAAGUUGAGAAACUUCAGGGAUUAGAAUUUCCCAGCAGCUCCAAGGCCAUUUCUGUUCAUCCCCAACUCGGCUGUGUGAACUUGCUGGUGAGGGUUCUCGUUUCUGGCCUUCACCAAAACGGGUGCCUUAUGUGCACCGAGAUGUAAAUUGUAUCCUCAUAUUCCACAUGGCAACCUUUUUAAUGGCUCCACAUAUUGCCAGUUACCCACCAACCUCAACUGUGUAAGAAUCCUGUGUCACCAUCAUCAGCCUGACAAUUGGCACCAUAAUCUAGCAACUGAGGGAAAGCUUUGCAUUGUUCUCUCCAACAAUGCCUCUGGACACACCAGGAGUGGAUGAAGCCUGGUUGUUUGUUCUUCCAGAGCUACUCUCAGUUACGGCUGAAAGAACUUCAAGGUUUGCAAAGUGCUAGUAAAACUCAGCGGGGUGAUCUCGUUCUCUAUAUUAAGCAGCUGAUGGGGUAAUUUUAUUCUAUAUUAGCGGUUGCCAGAAACCACAAAAAGUGGAGUAUAUCUCCUGGGUGGAUGAAUCCAAAAGUGAAUGCAGCAGAGAGGUACAAGAUGGGUGAUUAAAGCACAUCAAGAAAUGUUA